GGGGGGGGGGGGGGGGGGGGGGGGGGGGCGGCUAGCCGCCCGCUUCUGUGGAAAAAGACUAUUUUAAGUGUCAUAAUUAAGUUUAGAAGCCUUGUUUGGGCUCAUUCACUGCUCGAAAUAAAAAGGACUGGCUGCUUUUAGACCCUUUCUGAAGGGGUUGGCUAAGCGCCUUUGCACGUUCACUUGGAGAAGAAUGUUUUCUUUUCUGGUUUAAUAUUAGAAACUAUAUUUUUACUUGUUUAAACCGGAUUUGAUUUUUUGGAGAUUUUUUUUCCUCUCUCCCCCCCCCCCCUUGCUAUCGCUCAAGGGGGGGGCCCCCCCCCCCCUUGCUAUCGCUCAAAUCUUUGUUCAUUGUUCAUUGACUGUGGAAGGCUGCUUAAAUGUACGGAGAGAGGGGGGAGGCCCCCUCGGUGGUUUGAUGUUGAAAUAGUAAACCUGAAUGAGGAGGGUGGCUGGAAAAGUGGACAUUGCAGCUUUAAUUAACUUCAAGAUGCUUCAGCGAGGACCAGAGCGUAGUAGUGACGUUGCCUCAUAAAUCUGUCCAGUACAGUGCGUUGCAUUGAACUAUUACAGUAUCACCAUCAUAUUGAAUAUUCACUACCUAUCCGGGAGCAGAUUUGCAUAAUUGGAUCUUUUUUAAAUGAAACUUGUUUGCAAAAACCCAAACAAAACCAAAAAAACAAAAGCCCAAGUGAAAACCGCGGCGAUCUGCAUGAUUAUAAAGGGUUCAAACAUAUCCGAAAAUCUGGGUAUGACUGGGUCAGUGGAUAAAACUUCCCUUCCUUACCUGGUGAAACUCAUGUGAUUCUUAAUUUCACUGUAAGUACAAUGUGCAGCUCCACUGUUUGAUGCUCAAACUUUUUCUCCUUUCAUCAUUUCACAUUCAAAAAGGAAUCCAACUUUUUG
rnacentral:lncRNA from 1 species